rnacentral:rRNA from 1 species
AUGCUGGAGGUAUCAGAAGUGCGAAUGCUGACAUAAGUAACGAUAAAGCGGGUGAAAAGCCCGCUCGCCGGAAGACCAAGGGUUCCUGUCCAACGUUAAUCGGGGCAGGGUGAGUCGACCCCUAAGGCGAGGCCGAAAGGCGUAGUCGAUGGGAAACAGGUUAAUAUUCCUGUACUUGGUGUUACUGCGAAGGGGGGACGGAGAAGGCUAUGUUGGCCGGGCGACGGUUGUCCCGGUUUAAGCGUGUAGGCUGGUUUUCCAGGCAAAUCCGGAAAAUCAAGGCUGAGGCGUGAUGACGAGGCACUACGGUGCUGAAGCAACAAAUGCCCUGCUUCCAGGAAAAGCCUCUAAGCAUCAGGUAACAUCAAAUCGUACCCCAAACCGACACAGGUGGUCAGGUAGAGAAUACCAAGGCGCUUGAGAGAACUCGGGUGAAGGAACUAGGCAAAAUGGUGCCGUAACUUCGGGAGAAGGCACGCUGAUAUGUAGGUGAAGUCCCUCGCGGAUGGAGCUGAAAUCAGUCGAAGAUACCAGCUGGCUGCAACUGUUUAUUAAAAACACAGCACUGUGCAAACACGAAAGUGGACGUAUACGGUGUGACGCCUGCCCGGUGCCGGAAGGUUAAUUGAUGGGGUUAGCGGUAACGCGAAGCUCUUGAUCGAAGCCCCGGUAAACGGCGGCCGUAACUAUAACGGUCCUAAGGUAGCGAAAUUCCUUGUCGGGUAAGUUCCGACCUGCACGAAUGGCGUAAUGAUGGCCAGGCUGUCUCCACCCGAGACUCAGUGAAAUUGAACUCGCUGUGAAGAUGCAGUGUACCCGCGGCAAGACGGAAAGACCCCGUGAACCUUUACUAUAGCUUGACACUGAACAUUGAGCCUUGAUGUGUAGGAUAGGUGGGAGGCUUUGAAGUGUGGACGCCAGUCUGCAUGGAGCCGACCUUGAAAUACCACCCUUUAAUGUUUGAUGUUCUAACGUUGACCCGUAAUCCGGGUUGCGGACAGUGUCUGGUGGGUAGUUUGACUGGGGCGGUCUCCUCCUAAAGAGUAACGGAGGAGCACGAAGGUUGGCUAAUCCUGGUCGGACAUCAGGAGGUUAGUGCAAUGGCAUAAGCCAGCUUGACUGCGAGCGUGACGGCGCGAGCAGGUGCGAAAGCAGGUCAUAGUGAUCCGGUGGUUCUGAAUGGAAGGGCCAUCGCUCAACGGAUAAAAGGUACUCCGGGGAUAACAGGCUGAUACCGCCCAAGAGUUCAUAUCGACGGCGGUGUUUGGCACCUCGAUGUCGGCUCAUCACAUCCUGGGGCUGAAGUAGGUCCCAAGGGUAUGGCUGUUCGCCAUUUAAAGUGGUACGCGAGCUGGGUUUAGAACGUCGUGAGACAGUUCGGUCCCUAUCUGCCGUGGGCGCUGGAGAACUGAGGGGGGCUGCUCCUAGUACGAGAGGACCGGAGUGGACGCAUCACUGGUGUUCGGGUUGUCAUGCCAAUGGCACUGCCCGGUAGCUAAAUGCGGAAGAGAUAAGUGCUGAAAGCAUCUAAGCACGAAACUUGCCCCGAGAUGAGUUCUCCCUGAC